GGAAGUAAAAGACGUAACAAGGUCUCCGUUGGUGAACCAGCGGAGGGAUCAUUACUGGAAUCGCAAGAUCCCACAACCCUGUGAACCUACCGAAACGUUGCCUCGGCGGGUGCCCGGCCUCUGCGCCGGGCGCUGCGCCCGCCGGCGGCCCCCUACUCUGUCUCUGCAGCGUGGCAUCUCAGAGUCCCAGAAAACAAGUCAAAACUUUCAACAACGGAUCUCUUGGCUCUA
rnacentral:misc_RNA from 1 species